rnacentral:rRNA from 1 species
CCUACGGGAGGCAGCAGUGAGGAAUAUUGGUCAAUGGCCGGAAGGCUGAACCAGCCAUGCCGCGUGAAGGUCAGUGCCCUAUGGGCGUUAAACUUCUUUUGUGCGGGAGCAAUAAUGGUCACGUGUGGCCAGACGAGAGUACCGUACGAAUAAGCAUCGGCUAACUCCGUGCCAGCAGCCGCGGUAAUACGGGGGAGGCAAGCGUUAUCCGGAUUUAUUGGGUUUAAAGGGUGCGUAAGCGGUGAGGUAAGUCAGCGGUGAAAUGCCCCCGCUCAACGGGGUGAAGUGCCAUUGAUACUGCCUGGCUGGAAUGCGGAUGCCGUGGGAGGAAUGUGUGGUGUAGCGGUGAAAUGCAUAGAUAUCACACAGAAAACCGAGUGCGAAGGCAUCUCACGAAUCCGCGAUUGACGCUGAUGCACGAAAGCGUGGGUAUCAAACAGGAUUAGAUACCCUUGUAGUC